AUGGCCAUAUCAUGUUGAAACACCUUUUCUUGUAUGAUCACCAAAGUUAAGCAAUGUUUAGCCUGGUCAGUAUCUAGAGUGGUGACCACUUGGGAAUACCAGGUGCUGUAAG